AUACGUAGGUGGCAAGCGUUAUCCGGAUUUACUGGGUGUAAAGGGCGUGUAGGCGGUAUACCAAGUCAGAUGUGAAAUCUCCCGGCUCAACCGGGAGCGUGCAUCUGAAACUGGUACACUUGAGUGCUGGAGGGGAAAGCGGAAUUCCUAGUGUAGCGGUAAAAUGCGUAGAUAUUAGGAGUAACACCGGUGGCGAAGGCGACUUACGGGACUUUAACUGAAGUGGAGGCUCGAAUGCGUGGGGAGCAAACAGGAGUAAAUGCCCUGGUAGGCCACGUCGUAAACGAUGAUUACUAUGUGUUUGUUGUCAUAGACAAUCGGCGCCGCAGCAAACGCAAUAAGUAAACCACCUGGGGAGUACGUUCGCAAGAAUGAAACUCAAAUGAAUUGGCGGGG
rnacentral:rRNA from 1 species